GACGAACGCUGGCGGCGUGCCUAAUACAUGCAAGUAGAACGCUGAAGGAGGAGCUUGCUCUUCUGGAUGAGUUGCGAACGGGUGAGUAACGCGUAGGUAACCUGCCUGGUAGCGGGGGAUAACUAUUGGAAACGAUAGCUAAUACCGCAUAAGAGUAGAUGUUGCAUGACAUUUACUUAAAAGGUGCAAUUGCACCACUACCAGAUGGACCUGCGUUGUAUUAGCUAGUUGGUGGGGUAACGGCUCACCAAGGCGACGAUACAUAGCCGACCUGAGAGGGUGAUCGGCCACACUGGGACUGAGACACGGCCCAGACUCCUACGGGAGGCAGCAGUAGGGAAUCUUCGGCAAUGGACGGAAGUCUGACCGAGCAACGCCGCGUGAGUGAAGAAGGUUUUCGGAUCGUAAAGCUCUGUUGUAAGAGAAGAACGAGUGUGAGAGUGGAGAGUUCACACUGUGACGGUAUCUUACCAGAAAGGGACGGCUAACUACGUGCCAGCAGCCGCGGUAAUACGUAGGUCCCGAGCGUUGUCCGGAUUUAUUGGGCGUAAAGCGAGCGCAGGCGGUUAGAUAAGUCUGAAGUUAAAGGCUGUGGCUUAACCAUAGUACGCUUUGGAAACUGUUUAACUUGAGUGCAAGAGGGGAGAGUGGAAUUCCAUGUGUAGCGGUGAAAUGCGUAGAUAUAUGGAGGAACACCGGUGGCGAAAGCGGCUCUCUGGCUUGUAACUGACGCUGAGGCUCGAAAGCGUGGGGAGCAAACAGG
rnacentral:rRNA from 1 species